AAAGCUAUACUUUCAGGGAUCAUUUCUACAGUUUGUUACUGGAGAAGUUUCUCUGAACGUGCAGAGCACUGACAACCACGAGGAGGAGGCACAGUGUUCUCUCCUGAGCGAGAAGUUGGCUCUUGGUGUUGCUUCCCUGCAACUGCUAUUUGCCACUGAUGAUCCUUCUGCUCUUCGGGAGAGAGGGAGAGAACGCAGUCUGAGUGGC